UACGUAGGGGGCAAGCGUUGUCCGGAAUCACUGGGCGUAAAGCGCGCGCAGGCGGCGAUCUACGUCCGGGGUGAAAGCCCAGAGCUCAACUCUGGGAUUGCCUUGGAUACGGGAUCGCUUGAGGAUCGGAGAGGCAAGGGGAAUUCCACGUGUAGCGGUGAAAUGCGUAGAGAUGUGGAGGAACACCUGUGGCGAAGGCGCCUUGCUGGCCGAUUUCUGACGCUGAGGCGCGAAAGCGUGGGGAGCAAACAGG
rnacentral:rRNA from 1 species